UACAUGGGGUGCAAACGUUGCUCGGAAUUACUGGGCGUAAAGCGUGCGUAGGUGGUGAGUUAAGUCUGUCGUGAAAGCCCCGGGCUCAACCUGGGAAUGGCGAUGGAUACUGGCUCGCUAGAGUGCGGUAGAGGAGAGUGGAAUUCCCGGUGUAGCAGUGAAAUGCGUAGAGAUCUGGAGGAACACCGAUGGCGAAGGCAGCCUUCUGGGCCAACACUGACGCUCAUGCACGAAAGCGUGGGGAGCAAACAGG
rnacentral:rRNA from 1 species